GGGGGCGUUUAGAUUCGACAGGGAUGUUGGGUCGUAGGUUGCAUGCCGGGGAGCUUGUGCCUCGCAAAAAAUAAGCAAAAACAAAGAUGCCAAUAACGUCAUCGAUUUCACCGCCAAGCGUCAAGCUAAGCUUGCGCUUGCUGCCUAACUUAACUUAGGUGCGGUACUCUUUCGCUUCUUGAUUACCCGAAGCGUCAGGGUCAGAUACGGUAAUUGCUCAGGGAUUAAGUUAGCGAAUAAUAGUUCCUGUUAAGACAUAAUCGCGAACCCGGUCGGCGGUUUGAGCCGUCUUCAGCGGACCGCAAGGGAUCUGGGGAAAUUUCAAACUAAGCUUGUAGAUACCUGCUUCUCGGUAUUUUUGGACGCGAGUGCGAUUCUCGCCGCCUCCACCA
rnacentral:tmRNA from 1 species